rnacentral:rRNA from 1 species
GAUGAACGCUGGCGGCGUGCCUAAUACAUGCAAGUCGAGCGAACAGAUGAGGAGCUUGCUCCUCUGACGUUAGCGGCGGACGGGUGAGUAACACGUGGAUAACCUACCUAUAAGACUGGGAUAACUUCGGGAAACCGGAGCUAAUACCGGAUAAUAUAUUGAACCGCAUGGUUCAAUAGUGAAAGACGGUUUUGCUGUCACUUAUAGAUGGAUCCGCGCCGCAUUAGCUAGUUGGUAAGGUAACGGCUUACCAAGGCAACGAUGCGUAGCCGACCUGAGAGGGUGAUCGGCCACACUGGAACUGAGACACGGUCCAGACUCCUACGGGAGGCAGCAGUAGGGAAUGUUCCGCAAUGGUCGAAAGCCUGACGGAGCAACGCCGCGUGAGUGAUGAAGGUCUUCGGAUCGUAAAACUCUGUUAUUAGGGAAGAACAAAUGUGUAAGUAACUAUGCACGUCUUGACGGUACCUAGUCAGAAAGCCACGGCUAACUACGUG